rnacentral:rRNA from 1 species
UACGUAGGUGGCAAGCGUUGUCCGGAAUUACUGGGCGUAAAGCGUGCGUAGGCGGUUCGCUGUGUCCGAUGUGAAAGCCCCGGGCUUAACCUGGGAAUGGCAUUGGAAACUGGCGGGCUUGAGUGCGGCAGAGGGGGGUGGAAUUCCGCGUGUAGCAGUGAAAUGCGUAGAGAUGCGGAGGAACACCGAUGGCGAAGGCAGCCCCCUGGGUCGACACUGACGCUCAGGCACGAAAGCGUGGGGAGCAAACAGG